rnacentral:pre_miRNA from 1 species
AUUGGGGUGCAAUAUAAUUUAAUGCAGGCAUACUAGUCAAAUUAUUUGGUUUAAUUUCCCCUUUUGAGGUUUUUUUCUUUUGUACAUUUGGAAAUUGAAUCAAAUAAUUUGAUUGGUAUGCCUGCAUUAAAUUGUAUUGUGCCCCAA